GGGUUUGUGGCUCAGUGGUAGAGUGCUCGCCUGGCAUGCAUGAGGCACUGGGUUCGAUCCUCAGCACCA
rnacentral:tRNA from 1 species